CGGGAGAUUAAUCUCUUUCCUUCGCAUCGACUCUGUUUACAGUGACCGCGCAUGCGCCGUAUGUCUCCUUCAUCGUGCCCUGUCCCAGUUGUAGACAGCGUCACGCUAGCUGUCGGACCGCUGAGCCGCAUCGCAACAGGCACCUCCCGGCGCAGCAGACCACCUCGGCUAACACGUUAGCACCGCACAAUGGCUGUCCCUCCGUCAUACUCAGACCUGGGCAAGGCUGCCAAGGACAUAUUCAGCAAGGGCUACGGCUUUGGUGCUGUAAAGCUGGACCUUAAGACCAAAUCACAAAGUGGAGUGAUGGAGUUCAACACGUCUGGCUCCAGUAACACAGAUACGGGGAAGGCCUCGGGGAGCCUGGAGACCAAGUACAAGAUGAAGGAGCUGGGCCUGAUCAUCAACCAGAAGUGGAACACAGAUAACACCCUGGCUACUGAAGUCACUGUGGAGGACCAGCUGGCUCAAGGACUGAAGGUCGCCCUGGACACAUCUUUUGUACCCAACACAGGUAAGAAGAGCGGCAAGCUGAAGACGGGUUACAAGCGCAACUACGUGAACCUGGGCUGUGACGUCGACUUUGAGGGGCCCAUCAUCCACGCUGCGGCCGUGCUGGGCUACGAGGGCUGGCUGGCCGGCUACCAGAUGGCCUUCCACACGGCCAAAUCCAAACUGGUCCAGAACAACUUCGCCCUCGGCUACAGGGCCGGGGACUUCCAGCUGCACACCAACGUUAAUGACGGGGCCGAGUUCGGCGGCUCCAUCUACCAGAGGGUGAACGACGAGCUGGAGACGGCGGUCACUCUGGCCUGGACCGCUGGCAGUAACAACACUCGCUUUGGCAUUGCUGCCAAAUACAAGCUGGAUAAAGACAUCUCUGUGUCUGCCAAAGUGAACAACGCCAGUCUGAUCGGAGUAGGCUACACUCAGAGCCUUCGCCCAGGUGUGAAGGUCACCCUCUCAGCCCUGAUCGACGGGAAGAACUUCAACGCCGGCGGACACAAAGUCGGCCUGGGCUUUGAGCUGGAGGUGUAACAGGGCGACCUGAGGCCCACAUCACCACCCUCUUCUCCUAUGACCAUCCUAUUUAUUUUAUUAUUAUUUUUGUAAACAUGAAUCAAAAUGCGCUUCUUCCAUCUGCUUAUGUUUCAACGACUCUUUUCUUUGUCCCUCAGACACAGCACCUCAUUUUUCCAAUGUUAAGGGAAUUCUAAUAAUAAAAUUAAAACUGUCUUAAAUUUAUUCUUUUCUCUUGCAGAUAAGGUGCAAGGUAAUAAUUUGACAAAAUACAUCGUAACUCAAGGCUUAACUAGCCUUUUCUGGAGCUUUUACAAUGUCUCACGGUCCUCAGGGGAUGAGGUUUGCUGAGUUGUUGUGAACCAACUCCAUCUGCAGGGAGACAGAGACAAUUAAAAGCUCUGGAAAAAGCUGGUAAGUGGACCAGCAGUUCAAUAGUUUUACAUUUUGGGAAAGCUACACUUAUUUACAGAGAAGGAGAUAAGGGUACUGGCACCAGUCUCAUAUCUGUGCAAUCAAGAAAACUAUUAGCUUAGCAUGAAAAGUGCAAACAGAGAAGCAGCUAUCCAGCCAGGUUGUAGUUAAAUCCAUACAAAAACCAAAGUGUAAAGUCGGUUUGUGGUUUUAUGGGGUGUUUAUGUGUGGGAUUGUUUUUACUGAUAACUUAAAGACAGUUUAAACAGGCUGUGAAAUUUUUCUUAUUGCAACAGCAGCCAAAACCUGCAAAGCUUCUUCUGCCACUUUUUUUUUUUUUAUUUGACAAAAAAAAUUGUAAAGGAAUAAUGUGAUGUUUGCUUUUUAGUCCAGCGUUAACACUGCCACUCAUCUGUACAGUGAAACUGAAGCUACCUUCAACAGUCAGCUAGCUUAGCUUAGCAUUACGAAGACAUGGAGGGAACAGCUUGUCUGGCUUAAUCCCAAGAUUGUUUAUCUGCAUCUCUAAAGUUCAAUAGUUAACACAUGGUAUCACCUUAAUUCCAAGACACUCACGUUUUUAUUAGAAAUAUUUGGACUGAAUCAUACCUGAACACAGGACAUUAACAUACUCAACAAUCAAAAACAUAAUCUUAGUGCUAGCACAAGUCUGCAUUGUUUCUGUUCAUUUGUUUGGAGCACAGAUUUGUGCAAAACAUCUUUAACGAACAAACUUGUCCACAUAUUCUCAAAGACAAGAGGACUCAUCACCAGACUUGUAGCUAAAUCUGAUGUUAAGCUUCUACUACCGACUUUCCAUCUGCAGGUCGGAGGCUGAGUCAGUUAUUCCAUAAUAUUCAGUGUAUGAGCUGCAAUAAUACAGGACUGAAACCAUGGGCUUGAAUGUAGAUUUUGUAGAAAUGUCUACAGAACCUGCUGACUUGCACUAGCACUAAUAAAAGUCAUGCUGCUGUCAAUGUCACUGACUAAACAGACUUCCUAUGAACAUCCUAAAAUGAGUUUGUAAGUGAUGUAUUAUAAAUAUCUGAACUUAAUGUGUGUCUUAAUAUUCUCCAGCUCUCCAUCAGGUUCUGGUUCUUCUCUUUGAUACAACAGCAUCACCAGUAAAAAGUAUCCUUCACACUAUGUAAUCAGCAUCCAUGUCUGGCUGAGCUGCCUAAAACAGUAGCUGGUAACUGCGUCGUCGUCAGAGUUAAAGGGUCAGUUCACUCAAAUACACAUUUUAAAUUACUUCUAGUAGUAUCCAGCUGAGCAAAGAGUUUUGUUUUUAUGUGUAUAUCCAUCUCUGUGACCUCUGCACAUGAGCUGUCAUUCACCUUUUGGCAGUGAAA